AUUGAACGCUGGCGGCAUGCCUAACACAUGCAAGUCGAGCGGAUGAAUGGAGCUUGCUCCUGGCUUCCGCGGCGGACGGGUGAGUAAUGCCUACGAAUCUGCCUGGUCUUUGGGGAUAACAUCCGUACACGGGCGCUAAUAUCACAUCCGUUCUUAUGUUGAAACGGGGGUUUCUUCGGACCUCACGCUUUUUGCUGACCCUAGGACGGAUUAGCUAGUUGGUUGGGUAAAGGCUUACCAAGGCGACGAUCCGUAACUGGUCUGAGAGGGUGAUCAGUCACACUGGAACUGAGACACGGUCCAGACUCCUACGGGAGGCAGCAGUAGGGAAUAUUCGGCAAUGGGCGAAAGCCUGACGGAGCAAUGCCGCGUGAGUGAAGAAGGUCUUCGGAUCGUAAAGCACUGUAAGUAGGGAAGAAGAGAAGUAAGAGAAUAUCUGGAUGUCUUGACGGUACCAAAAGAGAAAGCAACGGCUAACUACGUG
rnacentral:rRNA from 1 species